GCUAGUGUGGUGUAGUGGUUUGAACAUUUGACUAUGACUUUAGAGACUGAGGUUUGAAUCCCCGCUCAGCC